rnacentral:lncRNA from 11 species
ACUGAAUUCCAUGAAGGAAGGAAUUUGAGACUCAUCCAUCCAAGCAGAGGGACUGGUUAAAAUGCUUACCUCAAUGGUCUGUCAGGAAGAAGAACAGUUGAUGGUUGGGCAGUUUAAACAUCCAAUCUGUUGCAGAGAUGCCUCCUGAGAAGGUGCAAAACUGGGG